UACAGAGGUCUCAAGCGUUGUUCGGAUUCAUUGGGCGUAAAGGGUGCGUAGGCGGUGAGGUAAGUCGGAUGUGAAAUCCCGGGGCUCAACCCCGGAACUGCAUUCGAUACUGCCUUGCUUGAGCACUGGAGAGGAGACUGGAAUUUACGGUGUAGCAGUGAAAUGCGUAGAUAUCGUAAGGAAGACCAGUGGCGAAGGCGAGUCUCUGGACAGUUGCUGACGCUGAGGCACGAAAGCCAGGGGAGCAAACGGG
rnacentral:rRNA from 1 species